rnacentral:rRNA from 1 species
CAAUAGCGUAUAUUUAAGUUGUUGCAGUUAAAAAGCUCGUAGUUGGAUUUCGGGUGGGACGCAGCGGUCUCGCAUUGCGUUUGUACUGCUGCAGCCCUCCUUCUUGCCGGGGGCGGCCUCUCGGACUUCACUGUCUGGGGGUCAGAAUCGGCGAUGUUACUUUGAGUAAAUUAGAGUGUUCAAAGCAAGCUUACGCUCUGAAUAUAAUAGCAUGGGAUAACACGACAGGACUCUGGCCUAUCGUGUUGGUCUAUAGGACCAGAGUAAUGAUUAAGAGGGACAGUCGGGGGCAUUCGUAUUCCGUUGUCAGAGGUGAAAUUCUUGGAUUUACGGAAGACGAACAUCUGCGAAAGCAUUUGCCAAGGAUGUCUUCAUUGA